rnacentral:rRNA from 1 species
UACGUAGGGGGGCAAGCGUUGUCCGGAAUCAUUGGGCGUAAAGAGCGUGUAGGCGGCCAGAAAAGUCCGCUGUGAAAACUCGAGGCUCAACUUCGAGCUGUCGGUGGAAACUUUCUGGCUAGAGUCCGGAAGAGGAGAAUGGAAUUCCUGGUGUAGCGGUGAAAUGCGCAGAUAUCAGGAAGAACACCCGUGGCGAAGGCGGUUCUCUGGGACGGUACUGACGACUGGAGACGCGAAAGCGUGGGGAGCGAACAGG